ensembl:lncRNA
GCGUAUUCAGAGGAACUGAGAGAUUUAACUUUCCAUUACAGAGCACAGCGAGGCAGGUGAUAAAAGAUGCAUCUUUCCAUGCGGGUGUGCUGAGCUCCUUAUCAACCGGGAGUCACUCAGCAAGAACUGGCUCCCUUCACUGCCAAAGAAGAGAGAGACACAGAGAGACUUCCCUUCAUCUUGUCUACAACAAGUACCUCCCUACCCGUCAUCAGCGUUGAUGUGUGAGUAUAAUCUUCUGUAAACACCAAGUGCACCCAUACCUUGUUUAAUGAGACUGCCACAAUAACACGCACACAA